GAUGAACGCUAGCGGGAGGCUUAACACAUGCAAGUCGAGGGGCAGCAUAGGGUAGCAAUACUCUGAUGGCGACCGGCAAACGGGUGAGUAACGCGUAUGUAACCUACCCUGUACAGGGGGAUAACCCGGAGAAAUUCGGACUAAUAUCCCAUAACAAUAUCCGGGGGCAUCUUUGGAUAUUUAAAGUUCCGGCGGUACGGGAUGGGCAUGCGUAACAUUAGCUAGUUGGUAAGGUAACGGCUUACCAAGGCUUUGAUGUUUAGGGGUCCUGAGAGGGUGGUCCCCCACACUGGUACUGAGACACGGACCAGACUCCUACGGGAGGCAGCAGUGAGGAAUAUUGGUCAAUGGGCGCAAGCCUGAACCAGCCAUCCCGCGUGCAGGAAGACGGCCCUACGGGUUGUAAACUGCUUUUCCCCGGGGCGAAUAACCCCCUCGCGAGGGGGAGUGCCGGUACCGGGGGAAUAAGGGAUCGGCUAACGUCCGUG
rnacentral:rRNA from 1 species